UUUGGGAAAUUAUGAAAAAGAAAAAUACAGGUAAAGCAGAUGCUCCAAAGGGUGUACUAUGCUGAAUGAUUUUGCACGUCAGUCUGAUCCCGAA